CCACCCCCUCCCUUCUCCUCCUUACUCCCUUUCCUCGUCCUUCUCCCUCUUUCCCCUUCUUCCCUUCCCUUACACUCCUCUCCUCCCGUUCCAUCCUAUUUCUCUCCACACCCCACCCCCUCCGUUCUUCUAAUACAUGACCUCAAUGGGUGUGGUAGGAAAGGGUAGGAGAAGAAAAGGGGAGGAGGGAAAGGAAAGAGGAGGAAGGAGGGGAUGGUAGCAGUAGUAAGUGGUGGUAAUAGAUAAUAAAAG
rnacentral:lncRNA from 1 species